rnacentral:piRNA from 1 species
GUUUGGAAAAUUUGCAGCCUGAUGAUGUGA